rnacentral:rRNA from 1 species
CCUACGGGAGGCAGCAGUGAGGAAUAUUGGUCAAUGGACGAGAGUCUGAACCAGCCAAGUAGCGUGAAGGAUGACUGCCCUAUGGGUUGUAAACUUCUUUUAUAAAGGAAUAAAACGAGGCACGUGUGCCUUUUUGCAUGUACUUUAUGAAUAAGGAACGGCUAACUCCGUGCCAGCAGCCGCGGUAAUACGGAGGAUCCGAGCGUUAUCCGGAUUUAUUGGGUUUAAAGUGAGCGUAGAUGGGUUGUUAAGUCAGUUUUGAAAGUUUGCGGUUCAACCGUAAAAUUGCAAUUGAUACUGGCAGUCUUGAGUACAGUUGAGGUAGGCGGAAUUCGUGGUGUAGCGGUGAAAUGCUUAGAUAUCACGAAGAACCCCGAUUGCGAAGGCAGCUUACUAAACUGUGACUGACAUUGAUGCUCGAAAGUGUGGGUAUCAAACAGGAUUAGAUACCCCAGUAGUC